rnacentral:lncRNA from 13 species
UCAAACCUGAGUCACUGUGUCUGAAGGGCACUGGGUUCCCCAGGCUGAUGCCUUAUGUCUUGCAAACGAGCAGCACAUCAGCUGAUAAGGUGACUGGGCCAUUGUGAAAAUCAUACAGUAGUUCCUACAAUGCUGGAAAAACAGCCGUUAAACCACAACUUAUUUUUCCCUUGGUGUUUGGUUUUGGCAAUGCAUUCUUUUCAAAUGAGAACUAUGCCAAACAUUUUGUAUGAACACUUCGAGUCAGCAAGUAUGUGAAUGACCUCUCUAUGACAUGCCAGGAGACAGGAGAGGAAGAGUUGUGGCCGAAGCAUGCUGGGCUCAGAACUCUUGCUCUGCAGGAAUGAGACAGCUCAGAGCAGCAUCUGGAAGCUGGCCAUGGACAGAACAACUCACAGGGCACAGCAAGGUGUCACAGCUCUUCUAGGAUCACUGGCCAGGCCACCUCAGACAGAUCUCUAUGAUUUUCAGAAAAGUGUGCAGACUUUAGGUGAAUGCUUCAUUGUUUGGGGAUCCGGAACUGAAUUCUCCUCCAGGACUAGCUAUGAAAUCACUGGAGGACAACAGGAGAGAGCUCAUGGGGUGCUGUGUGUGUUGGUUAAAAAUGGACAGAUGUGCAUGCCAUCCUGGGCACGUGUCCAUUCUACAUGGGAAUGGUCAUGGGAUGAACGCAGCAGUCUGGCACUAGAGACAGACCUGGCACCAGGAUUUCCUGAGGAAGAAGUCCCCCUCUUGAAUUUCAAACUUCAUGAAGGCAAGCCUUCUUUACUCGUGUCUGCUGUUCCAAUGUCCAGCACAACACUUUGCAUGUAGGAGUAUUUUUCUCAAAACCUGUGUCGAUUUGGGACAGACAGAGGCAAGCAGGGCUGCACAUGAGGAAAUCACUCUCCUCCCUGCUUUGCUGAAAUGCUAAAUAAUGAAGCUUUUAAUUGUUACUGAGUAUCUGAGUCGUUGAAUUCCUCAGUCUUCUGGAACUGUAAUCACACAAGGCUUUCCUUUAGCACAGGGAUACUCUAUAGUAAAAGACUACAGUUGAACUGCACAUGCCACCCUCAUUAUCACUCUCAUCGAAUGCUGUAACUUCAACCUCCUCCUUCGAUCCAGUUUAAAGACUAAAAUAUGGGAAAUAAGAAAAUGUGAAGACAUUUCAGGAUGGGACAACCUGUGUGAAGGGCAGGGUCCUGAUGCAAUGGCCACCAGCACACCUGAAGGUGUAGGUUUUCUUUUUGGGACAAGGAGUCCCUACUGUCCUGCUCCCCUCCCCCCAAAAAAUCUUAUCAUACUUUGAUUAUAUUAUCCAGGAAAAUAGACUGUCCUGGAAAAUAAAAGUCCAGCCUCUGCUAAAACA